rnacentral:lncRNA from 1 species
UUGAAAGUUAUUUCCCCUGGGUACUAUUUGGUGCAGUUUGUGAUGUAUGUAUGUAUGAAUUCCAUGUUUGCUGAUGUAUGUUAUUCAAUGUGGAGUUAUGUCACAUAAUUAUGCAUAAGCACUAGUACACUAUAUUAUUAUUAUUAUUUUAAUAUAUAUAAUUACAUCCACUCACUGAGCCGCAAGCUCACUAUUUUCUUAUUUACCCCUUUCCUCCCAAGAUUCCGC